ensembl:lncRNA
UGAAACACGAAAGGCCUCAAAAAAUGACAGAUUGAAACACACGGCAUUUAUCAGACGCUCUGCCAAAAUCCCUCUAAAAUGACAGUACAGAGAUUAUUACAAUACAUAAAGGCACAAGGAUAAAGAAUGGGUGGAAAGAAGGCAGCUAUAUAUAUAUAUGUGUGUGUGUGUGUAUACAUAUAUUGUGUGUGUGUACAUAUAUAUACACUGGAAGCUAGAAAGAAGAUGAAAGUGUGGCAUUUGAUGAAGACCAGAAAAAGCUGCAAGCUAAGCUUUGAAGAAGGCUGAUUUUUUCUGUAGAAUCCCAAUCUGCCUCAGAAAUGAGAGGCAUCAAGUACCUCUGAAAGUGGGGAUGAGCAUAGAAGAAUGAGCUGAAAGGCUAUAUGAGAGGCAGAAAGAUGCCCUCCCACCCCCAUGCUGCUCCUGAGCCUGACCAAAGGCCUAUCUGAAAAAGACUGGAAGAGCCAGAAGGUUCUGGAUUCUGGGUCAAUGGCGCUGUAAGAGCAAAGAGGACCAAGAGCAAACAAGGGGAUCAAUACAACUCAUCUGUCCCCACUUGCUCACAGAAUCCUGGGACACAGGUUUGUACCUUUCAGGCAGAAAAGUCGACAGUUCUUCUCAGGUGAAACUGAUUCAUUCAAGAAAACACAAACAAACAAAAACACUGACCCUGACAUUGGGGAGAAAGGGCUUGCCCACUGAGUUUCCUGGGUGAUGAACAACGCUUCGGAACAAGGCUCCACUCUAAAGACAGGGAGGGGUGGCAGGUCAGUAGUCUAUGUUUUGAAACUUGAGCUCCAGGUGAUUUUGCCGUGGUUAAAGCUGGCGAACUAUUGAGACAGAUUAUUUUACAACAUAGCCCUUGAGUCAACAAGAUUAAACCCCUGCUCACAAACCUGCCAAUCAAGUUUUUUAGAGAUCAGCUCUCACACAGAAAAAGCCACAUAUAAUAAGCAGAUAUUGCAAGAAACUCUCUAGCGUAAAAGAGAAAAAAGAAAUCUGUGAAAAUAGAAGCAGUGUAGUAAACAGAAGAAAACGUCAAAAGGCUAAUUCAUGUCUUCUGAAAGAUAAGAGAAGAUACUACAUUCAUGAACUAAGAAUAGAUUAUAAAAAAGAAUAUUCAAAAAGUAAAAGGUUUGUAAAAUAGGAAAGAAAAAGAAGAAAAAAUAUAAGAACAGUCUAGAAGAUUCACCACAGGAAUACAGCAAUCAACUAACAGAGAUUUCAGAAAAUAAGAGCAGAGAAAAUGUGGGGGAGGAAAUUAUCAAAGAAAUAGUUGAAGACAUUUCCCAGAAUUGAAAGGGCCUGUGCUUUUACAUAGAGAAGGCACACUGACUGCCCCAUGCAGUAGAUAAAAGAAAAUUACACUGGCAUUUUCUCAGGACACUAAAGGACAGAGAGAAGGUGCAAAACAUCUACAGAGACAGAACAAGAAGCUAACACAUAAAAGGGAUGGAAACCUAUUCUGUGUGAUGCUCCAAUAGCGGGUAGUAUAACCUUGUUAAAAGCCAGAGAAUGGACAGUACUAAGAGUGAACCAUAAUGUAAACCAUGGACAUUGGGUGAUAGUGAUGUGUCGCUGUAGGUUCACUAAUUGCUAACAGAUGUUCCACUCUGGCGCAGCAUGGGGGAGGCCGUGUUGUGUCGUGUGCGGGAAGAUGAUGCUAUAUGGAAACUCACAGCUCAAUUUUGCCAUGAAUCUGCUCUAAAAAAUAAAGGCUGAAAACAAAAGGAAUGGGGCCCGGCCCGGUGGCACAGCAGUUAAGUUCGCACGUUUGCUUCUCGGCGGCCCUGGGUUCUCCGGUCCGGAUCCCAGGUGCGGACAUGGCACUGCUUGCAAAAGCCAUGCUGUGGUAGGCGUCCCACGUAUAAAAAGUGGAGGAAGACAGGCAUGGAUGUUAGCUCACGGCCAGUCUUCCUCAGCAAAAAGAGGAGGAUUGGCAGCAGUUAGCUCAGAGCUAAUCUUCCUCAAAAAGAAAAGAAAAAGAAAAAGAAAAGGAAUGGGAAUCAGAAUGGCAUCUCAGUUCUCCAGCAAUGUUAGAGGCCAGAAGACGAUGGAUAAUUGCUUCAAAAAUUCU